rnacentral:rRNA from 1 species
GGAGGAAAAGAAACCAACAGGGAUUCCCUUAGUAACGGCGAGUGAACCGGGAAAAGCUCAAAUUUGAAAUCUGCCAACAGGCCGAGUUGUAAUUUGUAGAUGGCUACACUGCAUAAUAGUAGAUGCUCAAGUUCUUUGGAAAAAGACAUCAUGGAGGGUGACAAUCCCGUGAGGCAUGUUACUAGGAGCAUAUAGUGGGCUUUCUAAGAGUCGAGUUGUUUGGGAAUGCAGCUCAAAGUGCGUGGUGAAUACCAUGUAAAGCUAAAUAUGGACGAGAGACCGAUAGCGAACAAGUACUGUGAAGGAAAGAUGAAAAGCACUCCGAAAGGAGAGUGAAAUAGUACGUGAAAUUGUUAAAGUGGAAGGGCUUGAGAUCAGAAUUGGUAGUUUGGGUUCCACGUCCUCUUGGGGGCGUGUACUCCCUUUCCACCGGGCCAGCGGGAGUUUCGUCUCUUGGGUAAAAGCAGUGGAAUGUAGCAGCUUGUCUGUAUUAUAGCCUCUGUUCAUACAAGACGUCGAGACUUGAUUUGUUGGCGUAAUGAUCUCUAGCCACCCGUCUUGA